rnacentral:rRNA from 1 species
AGAGUUUGAUCCUGGCUCAGAUUGAACGCUGGCGGCAUGCCUAACACAUGCAAGUCGAACGGAGGUAGGGGCAACUCUACUUCAGUGGCGACGGGUGAGGAAUGCGUCGGAAUCUACCCUAUGGUGGGGGAUAACACAGGGAAACUUGUGCUAAUACCGCAUAAUGUCGAGAGACCAAAGCAGGGGACCGCAAGGCCUUGCGCGAUAGGAUGAGCCGACGCCCGAUUAGCUAGUUGGUAGGGUAAAGGCCUACCAAGGCGACGAUCGGUAGCUGGUCUGAGAGGAUGAUCAGCCACACUGGGACUGAGACACGGCCCAGACUCCUACGGGAGGCAGCAGUGGGGAAUAUUGGACAAUGGGCGCAAGCCUGAUCCAGCAAUGCCGCGUGUGUGAAGAAGGCCUGCGGGUUGUAAAGCACUUUUGUUCGGGAAGAAAUCAUGCUGGUUAAUACCUGGUAUGGAUGACGGUACCGAAAGAAUAAGCACCGGCUAACUUCGUG